rnacentral:rRNA from 1 species
GGUGCAUUAGCUAGUUGGUAAGGUAACGGCUUACCAAGGCAAUGAUGCAUAGCCGAGUUGAGAGACUGAUCGGCCACAUUGGGACUGAGACACGGCCCAAACUCCUACGGGAGGCAGCAGUAGGGAAUCUUCCACAAUGGACGAAAGUCUGAUGGAGCAACGCCGCGUGAGUGAAGAAGGGUUUCGGCUCGUAAAGCUCUGUUGGUAGUGAAGAAAGAUAGAGGUAGUAACUGGCCUUUAUUUGACGGUAAUUACUUAGAAAGUCACGGCUAACUACGUGCCAGCAGCCGCGGUAAUACGUAGGUGGCAAGCGUUGUCCGGAUUUAUUGGGCGUAAAGCGAGUGCAGGCGGUUCAAUAAGUCUGAUGUGAAAGCCUUCGGCUCAACCGGAGAAUUGCAUCAGAAACUGUUGAACUUGAGUGCAGAAGAGGAGAGUGGAACUCCAUGUGUAGCGGUGGAAUGCGUAGAUAUAUGGAAGAACACCAGUGGCGAAGGCGGCUCUCUGGUCUGCAACUGACGCUGAGGCUCGAAAGCAUGGGUAGCGAACAGGAUUAGAUACCCUGGUAGUCCAUGCCGUA